rnacentral:rRNA from 1 species
UACGGAGGGGGCUAGCGUUGUUCGGAAUUACUGGGCGUAAAGCGCACGUAGGCGGCUUUGUAAGUUAGAGGUGAAAGCCCGGGGCUCAACUCCGGAAUUGCCUUUAAGACUGCAUCGCUAGAAUUGUGGAGAGGUAAGUGGAAUUCCGAGUGUAGAGGUGAAAUUCGUAGAUAUUCGGAAGAACACCAGUGGCGAAGGCGGCUCACUGGCCCGGUACUGACGCGUGAGGCGCGAAAGCCGUGGGGAGCAAACAGG